AGUCGGUCAGACGGUUGCGUAUAGAAAUAUAUGAGGAAAGUCCGAGCCCCAAAGGGCAGAAUAGCGGCUAACGGCCGCCGAGGGUGACCUUAGGGAAAGUGCAACAGAGAUAUACCGCCGUAUUUAUACGGUAAGGGUGGAAAGGCGAGGUAAGAGCUCACCGAUCUUUACGGGGACGUAGAGAUCCUGUAAACCCUAUUCGGAGCAACGCUGACUGCGGCGAUACACCUGCCCGGUGUGCCGCGAAAAGCGGCUUGAACGUCGGAGCAAUCCGCCGUCGAGAUAGAUAACCGUCCGCGACAGAACUCGGCUUACCGACCGACUCAU
rnacentral:RNase_P_RNA from 1 species